AUUGAACGCUGGCGGCAGGCCUAACACAUGCAAGUCGAGCGGAUGAAGGGAGCUUGCUCCUGGAUUCAGCGGCGGACGGGUGAGUAAUGCCUAGGAAUCUGCCUGGUAGUGGGGGAUAACGUCCGGAAACGGGCGCUAAUACCGCAUACGUCCUGAGGGAGAAAGUGGGGGAUCUUCGGACCUCACGCUAUCAGAUGAGCCUAGGUCGGAUUAGCUAGUUGGUGGGGUAAAGGCCUACCAAGGCGACGAUCCGUAACUGGUCUGAGAGGAUGAUCAGUCACAUUGGAACUUAGACACGGUCCAGACUCCUACGGGAGGCAGCAGUGGGGAAUAUUGGACAAUGGGCGAAAGCCUGAUCCAGCCAUGCCGCGUGUGUGAAGAAGGUCUUCGGAUUGUAAAGCACUUUAAGUUGGGAGGAAGGGCAGUAAGUUAAUACCUUGCUGUUUUGACGUUACCAACAGAAUAAGCACCGGCUAACUUCGUG
rnacentral:rRNA from 1 species